rnacentral:rRNA from 1 species
UUCUUUAAGACUAAAUAAUUUAAAGUAAGGCCUGCUCAAUGACUGAUAUAAAUAGCCGCAGAAUAACUGUGCUAAGGUAGCAUAAUAAUUUGCUUCUUAAUUAGAAGACAGUACGAAAGACUUAACACUUACUUUUCGUCUCUCAAUAUCUACUUAAAUUAAGAAAGAAGUAAAAACUCUUUUACUCAUUAGCGGGACGACHAAGACCCCGAURAACUUAUAAUUUAGUUGGGGAAACAUAAUAAUAAAUAUUUAUAAAUAAAAAUCACAAAACUUCAUUAUGAAAAUAAGACUAGUUACUACGGGGAUAACAGCGUUAUUUCUUUUAAGAGCCCUUAUCUAAAAAGAAGAUUUCGACCUCGAUGUUGAAUUAAUCACCCUGUAAAGCGCAACAACUUUAUAAGGUAGUCUGUUCGACUAUUAAAAGAUU